GGAAGGCGUAGCCGGGCGGCAGGCCGAGCCCCCCGCCGCCGCCACUGCCUCCACCGCCGCUCCUCUCCCGCAGGCUCCGCACCGCGUACUCGAUGGCCGGCCGCACCCGCCCCAGCGAGAAGAGCGCUGCCCAAUCAGAGCAUGUCAAACACAUCCCCGUUCAGCUCUCCUUACCGAUCUAGGCAUCAGAUUUUGUCACGGUCCAUAUGAAAAUGGACUCUCCUGUUCUGGAAUAAAGAACAAUGUCAGUGUGAGGCAUGCAAAGUCUUAUGUGAAAGAGGCUUUUGGACACCUGAUGCUUUUCGACAGCAAAAUCCUAAAGGAUGUCUCCCUGCGUGUACAUUUUUCUAUGUACGCAUCCUCAAACCCGGAGCAAGGGCUGCGUGGUUUGAUGCUUUCUGCUUGCUCCGCGAGUGCCAGGUUUGUGUCGGGAAGCUACAUAAAUGCUUUUUAAUAGGAACAAAUCCUGCAAUCAUGAAUCAGUAGCAGGCAGAAUGCCCGUGGACUGCAGCAAGAGCAGAGACUUCAGACUAGCCCUUUAGGACUAAAGGCAUUAUGGACAUAGACUAUUUUCCCCACAGAAAUAACUCAUACACAAAUCAAGAAUCACUUGACUCUCUCCAGCUAGCGUUAGCAACAGUCUGAACUGCCUACUGCAGAUUAAGAAAAUCAUUCACAGGCAGGUUCGCUGAAAACAUAGUCCCCCCUAGAGGCUGAAAAGACGAAAUACUUUAGUGUCAUCUGUACUGCAAAUAUAUCGUGCCAUUCAGACUUUCAAAUUCUUUCCUUGUUUUUCUAGAAAUCUAUUCUCGUUAUUUCAAGGAAUUUAUAUUUUGGAACACACACAAUGGAUUUCUUAUUGCUAUAUGUAGGAUCUGUGUGUCUCUUUUCGCAUUUCUUGGCCUUACCUUUGUAUAGUUAUGUGAAAAUGCACCACAUUUGCAGCAUGAAAAAUCAAGAUGAACAAAUCUGAUGCUAAAAAAUAAAAAGGGGUCAUAUUUACUUGU